rnacentral:tRNA from 1 species
UAGGGGAUAGUAUAUUUGAUAAUACGGUAAUUUUUGGAGUUAUAGUUGAAGGUUUAAAUCCUUUUCCCUUAA